rnacentral:rRNA from 1 species
CCUACGGGUGGCUGCAGUGGGGAAUAUUGGACAAUGGGGGCAACCCUGAUCCAGCCAUGCCGCGUGUGUGAAGAAGGCCCUCGGGUUGUAAAGCACUUUCAGUGAGGAAGAACGCCUGGUGGUUAAUACCCAUCAGGAAAGACAUCACUCACAGAAGAAGCACCGGCUAACUCCGUGCCAGCAGCCGCGGUAAUACGGAGGGUGCGAGCGUUAAUCGGAAUUACUGGGCGUAAAGCGCGCGUAGGUGGCUUGAUAAGCCGGUUGUGAAAGCCCCGGGCUCAACCUGGGAACGGCAUCCGGAACUGUCAAGCUAGAGUGCAGGAGAGGAAGGUAGAAUUCCCGGUGUAGCGGUGAAAUGCGUAGAGAUCGGGAGGAAUACCAGUGGCGAAGGCGGCCUUCUGGACUGACACUGACUCUGAGGUGCGAAAGCGUGGGUAGCAAACAGGAUUAGAUACCCCUGUAGUC